rnacentral:rRNA from 1 species
CCAGACUCCUACGGGAGGCAGCAGUGGGGAAUAUUGGGCAAUGGGCGAAAGCCUGACCCAGCGACGCCGCGUGAGGGAAGAAGGUCUUCGGAUUGUAAACCUCUUUCAGCAGGGAAGAGGAAAGUGACGGUACCUGCAGAAGAAGUCACGGCUAACUACGUGCCAGCAGCCGCGGUAAUACGUAGGGGGCAAGCGUUAUCCGGAUUCACUGGGUGUAAAGGGAGCGUAGACGGCGACGCAAGUCUGGAGUGAAAGCCCGGGGCCCAACCCCGGGACUGCUCUGGAAACUGCGUCGCUGGAGUACGGGAGGGGCAGGCGGAAUUCCUGGUGUAGCGGUGAAAUGCGUAGAUAUCAGGAGGAACACCGGCGGCGAAGGCGGCCUGCUGGACCGUGACUGACGUUGAGGCUCGAGAGCGUGGGGAGCAAACAGGAUUAGAUACCCGAGUAA